rnacentral:lncRNA from 1 species
GACUAUGUUGUUAUUUUGUCCAUAGCUACUAUUCUUGACCCAAGGUAUAAGGUGCAAUUUGUCAAAUUUAAAUUGAAAAAAUUUGAGACGGAUGAGUAUGUUAUAAAUAGAAAAGUGGACAAAAUUGUGGAUGCUAUGAAAUCUUUGUUCAUGGAAUAUGCAAUGGAGUUGUCAAAAGAUGGUUCACAACAACCUCAAGAUGGUGUAAGGACUUCAACUAUUGCUACCACUAACAUGGGCGAACAUAGUGAUGAUGAGUUUGAUGUAAGUAAAUGUUUUCACUUUUCAUGUAUUAUAAAGUUUUUAAUUUUUUGCAUAUUUAUCUGUAUUGCAUAUUUAUGUUGAUGAACUUUUGAAACUUAAAAUUUUAAAUAGGAGUUUGUGAGGGAAGUGCAAGGUACUACAUCAACAAGAACAGAAUUGGAACAAUACUUAGAGGAGAAAAUCGU